AUUGAACGCUGGCGGCAUGCUUUACACAUGCAAGUCGAACGGUAAUAGGGAGCUUGCUCCGCUGACGAGUGGCGAACGGGUGAGUAAUGCGUCGGAACGUGCCGAGUAGUGGGGGAUAACGCAGCGAAAGUUGUGCUGAUACCGCAUACGUACUGAGGUAGAAAGUGGGGGACCUUCGGGCCUCACGCUAUUCGAGCGGCCGACGUCUGAUUAGCUAGUAGGUGAGGUAAAGGCUCACCUAGGCGACGAUCAGUAGCGGGUCUGAGAGGAUGAUCCGCCACACUGGGACGGAGACACGGCCCAGACUCCGACCGGAGGCAGCGGGGGGGAAUUUUGGAAAAUGGGCGAAAGCCUGAUCCAGCCAUGCCGCGUGUCUGAAGAAGGCCUUCGGGUUGUAAAGGACUUUUGUCGGGGAGGAAAUCCCCAGCGUUAAUACCGCUGGGGGAUGACAGUACCUGAAGAAUAAGCACCGGCUAACUACGUGCCAGCCGCCGCGGUAA
rnacentral:rRNA from 1 species